UACGGAGGGUGCAAGCGUUAUCCGGAUUCACUGGGUUUAAAGGGUCCGUAGGCGGUUUAGUAAGUCAGUGGUGAAAGCCCAUCGCUCAACGGUGGAACGGCCAUUGAUACUGCUAGACUUGAAUUAUUAGGAAGUAACUAGAAUAUGUAGUGUAGCGGUGAAAUGCUUAGAGAUUACAUGGAAUACCAAUUGCGAAGGCAGGUUACUACUAAUGGAUUGACGCUGAUGGACGAAAGCGUGGGUAGCGAACAGG
rnacentral:rRNA from 1 species